rnacentral:lncRNA from 1 species
GUGGAGAUGAAGGUGGAGGAGAAGCUGGAGGUGAAGGUGGAGCUGCUGAAGUUCUGCUUGGCAGUCUUUAACACCGUGUUUCUGUUUGUGGGUCUGAGUGCGGCCGGCUGUGCGAUCUGGAUCCUGUUCGACAGAGGAAGCUUCCUGAACUCCCUCCCCUCCGAGGAGCUGCAGGUGGUGUCCGUGGGCCUGCUGGUGAUCGGUGGUGUUGGCGGUCAGCGUGGCAGCGACCUGUGAGAUCAGGUUCCUACUGCUGACGGUGAGUCAGCGUAACGUCUGAUGCUGCAUUCAGGUCACGUGGGAAAAUGCUGCGACCACAUCCAGGGCUCAGUCAGCUGUUUUUUACCUGUGUCCCUCGGCUGAUGUGUGGUGGGUUUCUUGAAAGAACACUGUGAGAAAUAAAAUCCAGUUUUGUUUCUUAGUGCUGCCCCCU